CCCUUAGACGUUCUGGGCCGCACGCGCGCUACACUGACGAAGGCAACGAGCUUUCCUUUACCGAAAGGUACGGGUAAUCUUUUGAAACUUCGUCGUGCUGGGGAUAGAUCCUUGCAAUUUUUGAUCUUAAACGAGGAAUGCCUAGUAAGCGCAAGUCAUCAACUUGCGUUGAUUACGUCCCUGCCCUUUGUACACACCGCCCGUCGCUACUACCGAUUGAAUGGUUUAGUGAGGCCUUCGGAUCCGGGACUCGUUUGUGGAGAAGUUGGACAAACUCAGUCAUUUAGAGGAAGUAAAAGUCGUAACA
rnacentral:rRNA from 1 species